rnacentral:lncRNA from 14 species
CAGAGUACAGUGAUGCAGAAAACUACUCCUGGCUGCCUCUUCCAGCAAAUGUGUUCCUCCCUUACGGGCAUUUCUAUGGAGAGAGACCACAUGAAAGAUCUCAGAAGAUACCUGGUACUUAAAUACAUCCAGUACCUUGUCCUGUCUUCUUCGAACGCUGUCAGCACAUU